UCUCUCUCUCUCUCUCUCUCUCUCUCUCUCUCUGUGCGGAGAUCCCUGGCUUUCCUCUGAAGACCGAGGAGGAGGGGAGGGGCACCUCGAGAGCCGCAAAAGCGACCAGAUGUACAGAAAGAUAAUUGAGGAAGGGCAACUACACAAACCUGAAGCUUGCUGGAUUUAAUCAGCUUUACAAAGACAAUGAUCCCAAAGACUAUGAGAUAACUGCCACUGGGUAAGCAAGAGGCUGGCUGGGGACAUUAUUCAAAUUCCAGAAAGGUGGAAGAAAAAGCCCCGCUGGCAGGCCCAUCUGUUCAAACCUCUGGACGCAGUGUUCAGGAGCA